AGAGUUUGAUCAUGGCUCAGNNNNAACGCUGGCGGCAGGCCUAACACAUGCAAGUCGAACGGGCACCUUCGGGUGUCAGUGGCAGACGGGUGAGUAACGCGUGGGAACGUGCCCAUCGGUUCGGGAUAACCCAGGGAAACUUGGGCUAAUACCGGAUACGCCCUUUUGGGGAAAGAUUUAUUGCCGAUGGAUCGGCCCGCGUCUGAUUAGCUAGUUGGUGAGGUAACGGCUCACCAAGGCGACGAUCAGUAGCUGGUCUGAGAGGAUGAUCAGCCACACUGGGACUGAGACACGGCCCAGACUCCUACGGGAGGCAGCAGUGGGGAAUAUUGGACAAUGGGCGCAAGCCUGAUCCAGCCAUGCCGCGUGAGUGAUGAAGGCCUUAGGGUUGUAAAGCUCUUUCACCCACGACGAUAAUGACGGUAGUGGGAGAAGAAGCCCCGGCUAACUUCGUGCCAGCAGCCGCGGUAAUACGAAGGGGGCUAGCGUUGCUCGGAAUCACUGGGCGUAAAGGGCGCGUAGGCGGCCGAUCAAGUCAGGGGUGAAAGCCUGUGGCUCAACCACAGAAUUGCCUUUGAUACUGUUUGGCUCGAGACCGGAAGAGGUUGGUGGAACUGCGAGUGUAGAGGUGAAAUUCGUAGAUAUUCGCAAGAACACCAGUGGCGAAGGCGGCCAACUGGUCCGGUUCUGACGCUGAGGCGCGAAAGCGUGGGGAGCAAACAGGAUUAGAUACCCUAGUAGUCC
rnacentral:rRNA from 1 species